AGACCAUCUCCAAGGAGA
rnacentral:snRNA from 1 species